rnacentral:tRNA from 1 species
GCACCUGUGGCUCAAAAGAGUAGGGUGCCGGCCUCAUAUGCCGGAAGUGGCGGGUUCAAACCCAGCCCUGGCCCA